CCUAGUUAGUGUUUAUUAGAACAGGGAGAGAGUGAGCGUUAGUCUGGGGAAGUGUUAGGCCUGCUGGCACUCUUCCCUAAGGUUGUUCCUUGGCGGUUGCUUUUAUCUUAGUAAGUAUUCGUGAUUCCCUAUGGUGGUAAGUCUCUUGAUUAAGUAAGUUAUGUUCCUUAAUUGCUUGCAGGUUCAUCGCUCAGUACCUUAGUCUUACAUCAGUGCAACCUUGAGAUUAAGAUAGUAAUCAAUAACAUAGACGUGGUGUCUAGUAGGUUAGAGGUUACCUUUAUUUUCCUUGUUCCCCAUGGAAUGCAUAGGUAGGCGGCACGUGGUGAUAGCUUUAUCCGUCCUUCGUAAUCCUCCACGUUCGGGUACAACGUAGAGCUAUUGGCCGGAGUCUCCUUGCAGACCCAAGUCGGUGCUCGAAGUAAGCAGUUAACCACAUAACCUAUCUUAACCCAAGAUCUUCUACCCAUAGGAGUCAUCUCUACCCUCGCCUACUUAUCUUUUGUUGUCUUUGGAUGUUCUAGACUCGAAGAGUAGUACACAUACAUUCCCCGUGGAUUCGAUACCCUAAAUAUCGAAGCUACAACGGUAUCCAUACGCUUACAAAUUUAUACGUGAACGUUAUUUAUACGAACAAUAUGGCCGUUACCAUGAAUUUUUCUCUCAAUAAAACUAAACAUAAAAUAUGAUUUUAUUUCCAAUCCAUGAAAACACCACAUGCCCGCUUACGCUUUGGUUUCUAAGCCUAGGCAAAAUUCAGCUCUAAUACGUGGAUGUAUAAAUUUCAGAUGGUACCAAUUAUUUUGGUAACUAGCUAUCAUGCUUGAAAUUUUUUUGAAACCCUAUAAUUUGAUAAGGUCAAACCGUACUCAUGAAAUUACUAAAUCAAAGAAAUUCCUUUGCCCUAUUGUUGUCAAUCGAUGAAUUACUACACCGUCUGCGAUUUUGCUCAACAGCCACAUAAAUCUCCAAGAGCACUGAUGUACUAAUUAAAUGGAUGCUUGACAGCCUUAUUGGCACAUGAAUAGCCGAUAGUAUUUAUUGCCGAACAAUACUAUCCAUCAAAAGCACUGGUACUAUUUUAUUUCAGUGGAGACUGCAAUAGCUCUUUCGUUUAAAAUUUAAAUGAAUGGGAGUAGAGUGACAAAUAUGCACAUGGAGCUAGCAUUUGGAACGCUUGAUGUAGCACUGGUCCGAUCUUCCGAAAGGUAGUGAUAAAUUCGAUAUGUGGAGACUCGACGUUGACGAUCCGGGCUUCUAAUCAGACACGAUUCGAAUCCCUGCAACCGCUACACCACUGCUCCGUUGGUUAUCAACCAAGCACAACUUGAUUGACCUCGCCGAGAAAGCUUUCCCUGCAAGCGAAUCGAAGGACACAAGCAAGAAAGUAUAAACACGUAAUCUGAUAUUGCAAAUAUGAAUGAAGUAAAGAAGGGUUCAGGCUCUCAAUUCGAAAGGACUAAUCGACACAGUCGAGGAGAACAAGAAUAGGGGCCCUAGAUCACUAUAAAAGGACUUGUCGCCACAGUUACAACGAAUCAAUCUUAGUUUCUCAAAGGAAAACUGGAACUAAACAAAAUCCCCAGUUUCUAAGGCGGCAGCUACUGAGUUUAUAUCAAAAGGGGCGAACUAGGGUUGGAGGCGACCAGGAAGGGGGAGCCCACAACUUGGGCUUAAGGCCCGACACGAUACAAGGCCAAGUUGGCCCAAAACUAGUGACGCAACACCUUGUCGUGGUCACACAUAAUGAUCCACGAACCUUCUGGAGCUAGGACCAGAACCAAAACAACGGCAGCGGCAUCCUCGAUCCAACGCAUGAAAGAAUGCCUCGUUUCGAUGUCGUAUGAGGAAGAUAUGGCCGAAACCGUGCAGGGGUAUCGGCUGAAUCCGAAACGAAUGCGACGACCGAGUUGGUGACGAAUUGUAACUUGGGAAAGACCAUAACUCGUGCGUGUCCAACAUGACGAUGUCCUCAUCAGCACCAAUUUUAGUAUCAUUUGUAGAAAUCUAAUGUGUAAUCUAAAAUUUGCUUAAGAACAGUCAGCAAAAUGAGUGGUAUCACAAUAACAUUAUUUUUUUCCCAUGACACCUUGUUUCCCGACCUAUUCACAAUGCUCUUAAUAUGUUGGCGAAUUUCAUAUUACUUGCAUUAGUGUCGAAAUAAGAUUUCUUUUGCAUGUCUGCGGGAGAGUUGUUGGCUAUGAUUGUGGCCAUGUAAUUGAUGUUUUGUGUUAUCGGUUUGCAGGUUGGAAGGAUGCAAGCUUAAAUAGCAUCUCAAGCUCCUGAAAGUUUAAGCUCAUUGGUGAGCAUUACUGAAAUGGAGAAGAAAAGCAUAAACUAGUAAAUAGGUUUCUCUACUAACUUUAAUGGGUUUGUCAAAUUCCUAGGUUCUUGUGCCAGUUACUAAGAGAAGAAAGGCAUCAACAUAGUGGCUGCAAGUGAAGAGCAUUUGGGAGCAAGACAAUGUUCCAAGCAUGUUGCAGUGAUGUUUUCAUUAUCAACAGGUGUGGCACCCGGUCCAGUUUGGUUGGCCCAGUGUGGCCCAUGAGCGCAGGUGCGUAUGUUUAGUACCACCUUGCUAGUUGAGCAAGGGUGGAGCCAACUUAUAAACCUUUGUCAACCAGCUAUAGCACCUUCGGGUUAACCCUUUUACACGAAACGAGGACGAAAGUGUAAGCAGGGUGCUAUGUGUAUGCGUGCUCGUCCCUCGGAAGGGCUAGGCGGUGCGGCUUUGGAGGACGGGGUGUUACAACAGGGUAGCAUUUUGGAAGCUGCAAAAUUGAAGAAAUCAACUCAAAGUUAUUGCAUUAAGGAAGCUGGAUGUUUUUUGUGAUUUUUUGGAACUGUUGUACAUGCAUCUACCAAAUUGGGUUUGUUAGUGUUAAAGAUUAUAUAAAGAUCAACAAAAUUAACUACGCUUUAGUCCCUAUGAAUGUCUGUUAUGUAGUAAUACUGUUACUGCAUGAACUUGUGUUUCCUUCAUUGGCUUGCGUGAGAAAUGAUGCGAAACUGAAGGA
rnacentral:lncRNA from 1 species